ACCUUUCUCCCUCCGCCCCAACAUCGCUCCCUCCGCCCCAACCUCACUCCACCUGACCUCCCUCUGCCCCAACCUCACUGCCCCGAAUUCCCUCCCUCUGCCCCGACCUCAGAUGGGAUUAUGGGAGCAAGAGGAGGUAGUUCAGGUUCUUAAGCUUGUUCCGUGGACAAGUGGAAAAUCACAUCAGAAUUGAUGCUGUAUAAAAUAGCAUUUCAGCUCUAUGAACUGCGCCAUCAUUCAUUACAAUCAAGGCCAAUCAUUUACCUCAAUACCACAUUAUCACUUUCUCUCCAUACCCCUUGAUGUCUUUGGCAUGCAGAAAUUAUAACUCCUUCUUAAAUACAUUUACCAAUUUGGCACUGACAGCCUUCUGUGUAGCAAAUACUGCAGUGUUCACCACCCUUGCAAUGAAGGAAUUUCUCUUCACAGUCCUACAUCUCUUGCCCUGUUACUGACCCAUCAUUCUUGACACGUCAGGUAGGGCAGAAGUUUUCAACCUGUGGUCUGUGGACCCUUGGGGGUCCGCGGCGGGUUGCCAGGGGGUCCACGAGCAAGCCAAGAAAAAAAUGGAAAAGCGACCUGUUACAAAGAUGCAGCUUACUUGCUUACUCCAGUUUUCCACUAUUCAGAAAAUCGGCCAUAUCUAUUCUAUCUGUUAAAGGCGACAAUCUUCGAGACUUAGACGGUGUUCCCUUCUGAGAAAAGCUGACCAGAAACCGGAAGAUUCUGAUGACGAAGGGGAUAAGUGUGACCGAAAGAGAAAACAACGCAAGUACGAUCCAGAAUACAUUUCAUAUGGCUUCAUCGCAGUGGGGACAAAUGCGGACCAACCUCUCUGUGUUGUGUGUUUGCAAACACUGUCCAACGAUGCAAUGAAACCAGCGAAAUUGAACAACAGUGCAUCCAGAUAUUGCCAGUAAGCCGAAGGAAUAUUUGAGCGGCAAAAGGAGCUGUACCUCGAGCAGAAAGGCAAAAUGACAGCCUGCGCCACUGUAAAUGAGAAGGCUCUUCGCACAUCAUAUUUGGUAGCGUUACGACUAACACAUUCCAGAAAGCCUCACACAAUUGGAGAAGAGCUUAUACUGCCUGCAGCAGUAGAUAUGUGCAAAGUUGUACUGGGAAAAGAAUCCAGUCAAAAACUGAAAGCCAUUCCACUGUCUGAUAACACAGUAAGCAGAAGAAUUGGCGAUAUGGCGGAAGACAUACAGAGCAGCUGAUAGCACAUCUUCCGCAAGUCAGAUUUGCAAUUCAGCUCGAUGAAAGUGCUGAUGUUGCCAGUGUUGCACAGUUUUUGCUUUAUGUUUGAUAUGCUGGAAGGAGAGGCUUUGGAAGACUUUUUGUUUUGCAAGGCGCUCCCAGGACAUACAGCCGGUGAAGAACUUUUCCGUGCGCUUGACACUUUUUUUGUGCAAUCAGCAUUGGCGUGGACACAGUGUAUUGGAGUAUGCACGGAUGGUGCUGCCGCAAUGACGGGACGGAAGUCGGGUCUAGUCGCAAGAGUGAAAGAAGAAGCUCCACAUGUAGCAGCGACCCACUGCAUGAUUCACCGUGAGGCUUUGGCUGCAAAGGAUAUGGAUGAAAAUCUUGCAGAUGUGUUUUCCACGUGCAUUAAAAUCGUUAACUUUAUCAAAGCCAGGCCACCCAAUCAUCGUUUGUUUGAAAACAUAUGCCGUGAAAUGGAAGCGGAGCAUAAGCAUUUGUUGCUACAUACAGAAGUCAGAUGGCUGUCACGAGGCCACGUUGUGCAGCAUGUAUAUGAAUUGCGAGAUGAACUGCUCAUUUUUCUAAAUGAGCAUAACGGAUCAUUGGCACAGUUCUUGACAGAUGAGACGUGGGUUGCCAGAUUAGCUUACCUUGCAGAUAUUUUCAACAUUUUGAACAGCUUAAAUCUAUCAUUGCAAGGACCUGGCUCAAAUGUUCUGAAAAUGCAUGACAAGAUCAAUGCCUUCCAGAAAAAAACUCCGUAUCUGGAAGGGAAGAUGUGAGCAAGGCGUCUAUGAUAUGUUUCCGUUACUGGCUGAAUUUUUGACAGUGAACGAGACUAACACAGAGGCCAUUGCGAGCACUGUUUUGAACCAUAUUCAACAGCUGUCACAUUAUUUCCAUGAGUAUUUCGGCGACGAUGACACGAGCAUGUUUGAUUGAUUCGAAAUCAGUUUGAAUGCAUGCUUACUGAUUUAACUGGACGUGAACAAGAAGAAUUGGCUGAACUGUCAUCUGACACGACUUUGCGCUUGCAGUUCAAUCGAAUGUCACUGUUGUCAUUCUGGAUAGCAUGUUCCCAGGAGUAUCCACUGCUGUCCGGCAAAGCCGUCAAUGUUCUGUUACCAUUUGCAACCACUUACCUGUGCGAAAUACCAUUUUCUGCAGUCACUGCCGUGAAAACCAAAUACAGAUCAAGACUGAAUAUUGAGGAUGACAUACGCGUAUAUUUGUCGCACAUACUAUAGAAUAUAUAGAAAGUAGAGGCUAUACUUUUUUUUAUUCAUAGUCUGCUCUGUGUUUAAGAUGGCUGCUGAUCUCCUUAAGAUGGCCGCUGGGCCUCCUUCUUCUUCAGCUCGAGCGCGGGAAACUCUUAGUGUGGGAAACAUAUAGCUCAUUAAAGAAAUAGCCCAUUCUUAGGGAGACACUUUUGAUUUAGUGUAGCUCAUUAAACCGAUAGUUAGCUCAUUCCUAGGAAGACACUGUUGAUCUAUUGUGUAGCUAAUGGUCGUUAGGGUUAGUGUGACUAAUGAUUUUGUAGCAGUUCUGAAGCUGAUAGUUUUUUUUAACUGAUAAACCAGAUGCCAGCAAGUCUCAGAACUCAUAGGUUAUAGGGGCACAUUGUAAUGUUUUAUAACUGUUAGCCUUGUAGCGAAUAAGUCUAGUAUUGUUUUAUAACUGAUAGUUCUGUAGCCUAGUACCAGUACUCCCAAUGCCCAUGAAUAAUUGGGGCACCCUGCGAUUGAGACAGGAAAUGACCGUGGCGAAAGACAAAUGGUUGUGAGCCCGGAGACAACUGUGAAAGGAGGCAAAUGGUGAAGGAUGAAACUGUGAAGAUAAGAGAAAAGAUGAUGGAUUGUAACAAUCUCAUUGAGCUAAGAAAAAAGGUAUAAAAAAAGGCCCUCGAGCUUUGCUCGGGGGCAGUCAGAGAGGGCAGUAGUCAGAGGGUGACUGGUAACUGUCUGGCUGUCACAACUUUUUUUUGCAAAUAAAAGUUUAACUUCUUGAGGAA